rnacentral:misc_RNA from 1 species
GCCCGUUUCAUAAAACUUUUGACUUGCAACUGUAACAUCUCCCAUAUCUAUGGCAAAUCUUGUUAUUGCAAUGGCAACUUGUCAUAGUUGCAAAUAUCCGUUUCAUAAAAGCAAUGACAAAUUGUUAUCGUAAAUAAAAAUAAUUAAAUGAAAAAUAGUUCGUGAACGAGCCUGAUAUGCAGCUAACAGCCGGUUUUUUUCUUCACACACGUCGUCUGCGAGAAAAUUUUGAUGGUGACAGAAUUUACGGAAAAUUUGAAUCGGAGAUAUGGAGACCAGCAGCGUGGCAGCAGGAGCAAAUUUUGGCCGUGAUGAGGCGUAUACCACCAUCAACAAUGCUGCAAUUGCAGUCACUACCACCACUGCUGCCACCACUAUCAGUGCUGCUGAUGCCACCACCACCAAGUCUGCUUCUGCCACUGCCAUCACCAUUGCCACCGCCACUACCAAGACCACUCCUGACACAAAGCCCCCAAGUCCUCAACUGACCAGAUAUUGCAGCUGGAGAAGGAUAGACCAGGAACUUCAAAGCCAGGGCUUGUUGGUCUCCUACAAUAAGAAAAAUGCCAAGGGCCCAUCUAAUGAACUUGUAGAAUAUUUGGCCACAGUUGUAGAAAUGCAGAGACUAACAUACUGCCACAGGUGAGGCUUUGUCCGCAGUUCCGGAAAGACAAGCCAUGCCAAAAUCAACGACUGAAGGGUUUGGAGCGCCAGGCAAAGAGCCUAGAAAUGUGAUUUAACCGUACUUCAAUCACAUGAACUGUAGCAGGAGCAAAAACAGCAGCAAACACACAGGAGAUGUAACGACUACAUUGACCAAUACCAACAACUACAGCAGCAUCAACAAUAUCUGCAAAAACCACACUGGCAACCUCAACAACAUCAAGAUGUUCAACAACCACUCCGGGAAUUCAACAAACACAUCAGCAGAAA